CCUACGGGAGGCUGCAGUGGGGAAUAUUGCACAAUGGGGGAAACCCUGAUGCAGCGACGCCGCGUGAAGGAAGAAGUAUUUCGGUAUGUAAACUUCUAUCAGUAGGGAAGAAAAUGACGGUACCUGUCUAAGAAGCUCCGGCCAACUACGGGCCAGCAGCCCCGGUAAUACGUAGGGGGCAACCGUUAUCCGGAUUUACUGGGUGUAAAGGGAGCGUAGGCGGUUUAGCAAGUCAGAAGGUAAAGCGCGGGGGUCAAAUCCGGGCCUGCUUUUGAAACUGUUGAACUAGAUUGCAGGAGAGGUAAGUGGAAUUCCUGGUGUAGCGGUGAAAUGCGUAGAUAUUAGGUGGAACACCAGUGGCGAAGGCGGCUUACUGGCCUGUAAGUGACGCUGAGGCUCGAAAGCGUGGGGAGCGAACAGGAUUAGAUACCCGGGUAGUC
rnacentral:rRNA from 1 species